ACUUCAUCAAACGGAAAAGGUUUUACUUAAGGUAGAUUAAUAGGGAAUCGUGUGAAAAUCACGAACUGUCGCGCAACUGUAAGUAACAUAUUAAGGUUUUUGUCCUUGGAGAUCCACUGCUGUCAAGCGGGAAGGAUGACAGAAACUGUUACAAGUCAGGAGACCUGCCUGUUCCGAAUUGACAAU
rnacentral:ncRNA from 2 species